UCAAGCGAACAAGUGCAUGUGGUGGAUGCCUUGGCGAUCACAGGCGAUGAAGGACGCGGUAGCCUGCGAAAAGCCCCGGGGAGCUGGCAAACAAGCUUUGAUCCGGGGAUGUCCGAAUGGGGAAACCCACUCCUUAUGGAGUAUCCAUAGCUGAAUACAUAGGCUAUGUGAAGCGAACGCGGUGAACUGAAACAUCUAAGUAACCGCAGGAAAAGAAAUCAACCGAGAUUCCCAAAGUAGUGGCGAGCGAAAUGGGAUGAGCCUUGUACUCUUUAUUUGUAUUGUUAGCCGAACGCUCUGGAAAGUGCGGCCAUAGCAGGUGAUAGCCCUGUAGGCGAAAACAGUAUGAAAGAACUAGGUGUACGACAAGUAGGGCGGGACACGUGAAAUCCUGUCUGAAGAUGGGGGGACCAUCCUCCAAGGCUAAAUACUCGUGAUCGACCGAUAGUGAACCAGUACCGUGAGGGAAAGGCGAAAAGAACCCCGGGAGGGGAGUGAAAUAGAUCCUGAAACCGCAUGCAUACAAACAGUCGGAGCCUCUUUAUGGGGUGACGGCGUACCUUUUGUAUAAUGGGUCAGCGACUUACGUUCAGUAGCAAGCUUAACCGUAUAGGGCAGGCGUAGCGAAAGCGAGUCCGAAUAGGGCGUUCAGUUGCUGGGCGUAGACCCGAAACCAGGUGAUCUAUCCAUGGCCAGGAUGAAGGUGCGGUAACACGUACUGGAGGUCCGAACCCACUAACGUUGAAAAGUUAGGGGAUGAGCUGUGGAUAGGGGUGAAAGGCUAAACAAACCUGGAAAUAGCUGGUUCUCUCCGAAAACUAUUUAGGUAGUGCCUCGUGUCUCACCUUCGGGGGUAGAGCACUGUCAUGGUUGGGGGGUCUAUUGCAGAUUACCCCGCCAUAGCAAACUCCGAAUACCGAAGAGUGCAAUCACGGGAGACAGACAUCGGGUGCUAACGUCCGGUGUCAAGAGGGAAACAACCCAGACCGCCAGCUAAGGUCCCCAAAUAUGGCUAAGUGGGAAACGAAGUGGGAAGGCUAAAACAGUCAGGAGGUUGGCUUAGAAGCAGCCACCCUUUAAAGAAAGCGUAAUAGCUCACUGAUCGAGUCGUCCUGCGCGGAAGAUGUAACGGGGCUAAGCCAUAUACCGAAGCUGCGGAUGCGUGCUUGCACGCAUGGUAGGAGAGCGUUCCGUAAGCCUGCGAAGGUGCCUUGUAAAGGGUGCUGGAGGUAUCGGAAGUGCGAAUGCUGACAUGAGUAGCGAUAAAGGGGGUGAAAGGCCCCCUCGCCGUAAGCCCAAGGUUUCCUACGCAACGUUCAUCGGCGUAGGGUGAGUCGGCCCCUAAGGCGAGGCAGAAAUGCGUAGCUGAUGGGAAGCAGGUCAAUAUUCCUGCACCAUUGUUAGAUGCGAUGGGGGGACGGAUCGCGGAAGGUUGUCCGGGUGUUGGACGUCCCGGUCGCUGCAUUGGAGAAGGCGCUUAGGCAAAUCCGGGCGCAGGAUUCAAGGGUGUGGCGCGAGCGACUUCGGUCGCGAAGCAAUUGGAAGUGGUUCCAAGAAAAGCCUCUAAGCUUCAGUCUAACGAUGACCGUACCGCAAACCGACACAGGUGGGCGAGAUGAGUAUUCUAAGGCGCUUGAGAGAACUCGGGAGAAGGAACUCGGCAAAUUGGUACCGUAACUUCGGGAUAAGGUACGCCCUUGUAGCUUGACUGGCCUGCGCCAGGAGGGUGAAGGGGUUGCAAUAAACUGGUGGCUGCGACUGUUUAAUAAAAACACAGCACUCUGCAAACACGAAAGUGGACGUAUAGGGUGUGACGCCUGCCCGGUGCCGGAAGAUUAAAUGAUGGGGUGCAAGCUCUUGAUUGAAGUCCCGGUAAACGGCGGCCGUAACUAUAACGGUCCUAAGGUAGCGAAAUUCCUUGUCGGGUAAGUUCCGACCUGCACGAAUGGCGUAACGAUGGCCACACUGUCUCCUCCCGAGACUCAGCGAAGUUGAAGUGUUUGUGAUGAUGCAAUCUACCCGCGGCUAGACGGAAAGACCCCAUGAACCUUUACUGUAGCUUUGCAUUGGACUUUGAACCGAUCUGUGUAGGAUAGGUGGGAGGCUAUGAAACCGGAACGCUAGUUUCGGUGGAGCCGUCCUUGAAAUACCACCCUGGUUUGUUUGAGGUUCUAACCUUGGUCCGUGAUCCGGAUCGGGGACAGUGCAUGGUAGGCAGUUUGACUGGGGCGGUCUCCUCCCAAAGGGUAACGGAGGAGUACGAAGGUACGCUAGGUACGGUCGGAAAUCGUGCUGAUAGUGCAAUGGCAUAAGCGUGCUUAACUGCGAGACCGACAAGUCGAGCAGGUGCGAAAGCAGGUCAUAGUGAUCCGGUGGUUCUGUAUGGAAGGGCCAUCGCUCAACGGAUAAAAGGUACUCUGGGGAUAACAGGCUGAUACCGCCCAAGAGUUCAUAUCGACGGCGGUGUUUGGCACCUCGAUGUCGGCUCAUCUCAUCCUGGGGCUGUAGCCGGUCCCAAGGGUAUGGCUGUUCGCCAUUUAAAGAGGUACGUGAGCUGGGUUUAAAACGUCGUGAGACAGUUUGGUCCCUAUCUGCCGUGGGCGUUGGAUAUUUGAAGGGGGCUGCUCCUAGUACGAGAGGACCGGAGUGGACGAACCUCUGGUGUACCGGUUGUGACGCCAGUCGCAUCGCCGGGUAGCUAUGUUCGGAAGAGAUAACCGCUGAAAGCAUCUAAGCGGGAAACUCGCCUUAAGAUGAGAUAUCCCUGGAGGCUUGACCUCCUUGAAGGGUCGUUCGAGACCAGGACGUUGAUAGGUCGGGUGUGUAAGCGCAGUAAUGCGUUCAGCUAACCGAUACUAAUUGCCCGUAAGGCUUGAUCCU
rnacentral:rRNA from 1 species